GCUCCAUACCCCAUACCGAGCCCUUAUCAUCUUACUCUACAAGCAAUUAGGUUGGAGACCGAAUCUAGUUGCAUGCCUGGCAAUCAUAGCCUCCCCCUUGAUCAAUAGGGACUAAAUUCCAAGACCCCCAUCCCUCAUGGGCUGGCAAACCAUCUCCCAAGACACCAGAUGGAGCCCUUGACGAUCAUGCCAUGAGCCCCACAAGA
rnacentral:lncRNA from 1 species